rnacentral:rRNA from 1 species
GUCCACGCUGUAAACGAUGAGUGCUAGAUGUUGCGGGUAUUGACCCCGCAGUGUCAAAGCUAACGCGUUAAGCACUCCGCCUGGGAGUACGGUCGCAAGAUUAAACUCAAAGGAAUUGACGGGGCUCGCACAAGCGGUGGAGCAUGUGGUUUAAUUCGACGCAACGCGCAGAACCUUACCUGGGUUUGAACUGCAGCAGACCGGCGCAGAAAUGUGCCUUUCCUUCGGGACUGCUGUGGAGGUGCUGCAUGGCUGUCGU